GAAAUGCGAUAAGUAAUGUGAAUUGCAGAAUUCAGUGAAUCAUCGAAUCUUUGAACGCACAUUGCGCCCGCCAGUAUUCUGGCGGGCAUGCCUGUUCGAGCGUCAUUUCAACCAUCAAGCCCCCGGCUUGUGUUGGGGACCUGCGGCUGCCCGCAGGCCCUGAAAAACAGUGGCGGGCUCGCUGUCACACCGAGCGUAGUAGCAUACAUUCUCGCUCAGGGCGUGCUGUGGGUUCCGGCCGUUAAACGACCUUCAUAACCCAAGGUUGACCUCGGAUCAGGUAGGAAGGCCCGCUGAACUUAAGC
rnacentral:misc_RNA from 1 species